rnacentral:lncRNA from 1 species
ACAAAAAACUUACCUGAACUGCAUGCUGGGGAUCAAGUGAGAUUCAAAGACAAAACCAGCACAUGGGCACAGAAAGCGACUGUUCUAAAGAAAGAUCAACCACGAUCAUAUAUCAUUCAGACAGAAGAUGGAGCUAUACUGAGAAGAAAUCGCCGAGAUCUUCUUAAGGGACCAGUAGUAGUGGAGGCUGCUGAACAACCCCAACACACACAUGAGACACUAUCACCUGAAACACCUACACAUGCACAAGAACAAACACUGAGAAGACCUGUAAGACAAGUGAAGUCACCUAUGAGACUGAUUGAACAGAUGUAAUGUGUUGACAUGUUGUUUGGAAGAUGAUCUCAUAGUAUCUAUGCAAGUUGCACUAUGUUUGGUUACUAGUGUUGAACGGACCAUAAUUGUUGAAAACUAGUUGUGUUGUUAACGUUACAUUGACAAAGCCUGGUUUAACAAGUAAAAAACAAAUAGAGACUGUUUAUGUUUGUGAAAGUAGGUAUGUUAUUUUGUUUUAUUGUUGAAAAAAAAGAUGUAAUGAUAACAGCAAAUCCUUAUUUGCCUAGUAUCAUGUUUUAUGUUGUUAAUACUCCUAGACUUAGGGGGAGCUAGAUAGCUAGAGGGAGUUACCUCUGAGCAGACUGUGAUGGCAAAGCUUUGUUUACGUGUGAACCACAGUUCGAUAAAAUACCUUCUCUUCAAGUAAUGGUGUCAUUCUUGAGACCCCACAACAACAUAAAGAAACAAGACAUGGUGUCAGAAGAUGGACUUGAAGAAAGCAUCCCCUGGAUCAUUAUGAUGCUGCAAUAUUACUCUUCCUGCACACUGGGAGUCACUGGGAGUGAAUGUACCAAAAGUCCCUUCCUGUUUUGCAGCCUGUAUUUUUAUGUGUAAUUUUUUAAAUUAUUUUUUUCACAUUUUGAUUCUUUAUCAGAGGAAUUAUGUUGAAAUUCUUCCUUCAUGCUGCAUAAAAACAUGUAGAUUUUAUUUGACUCUUAGCUGAAACAUCAUUAUGCAGUACUAUAAUAAAAAAUGCUCCUUUGACCUCAGAUCUGUGAAUGUUUUCACCUUGUGGUUAAAUUCUAUGUU